GUGAAGGGAUUCCUUGUUUUGUUUCUCCCUUAAACUGUUUUUAUCUCAACGCAGGAAAUUUCUCACUUUUCUGAUUCUCUCCCCUAUCCCACUGUGGAGGAGUGACUGUUGUGGAAGGCUCCUGUUUGCCACAGGGCUCGCUUGCCUGAGUCUAGUGCUCAUUAGUGGCUGCUCACUGAACUGCUGUGCUGCUUAUCACCUUACUCUGCGGUGCCUGGGAACAUUUCGAUAACGGCAGUGGCAAUGUGUCGGGCUGGCAGAUGGCCAGAGCUGCUGCUGCUGUUCUGGACAGGCUGGAGCUCCAGUGUGAACUCGAGUGGAAGGGCCUGUGAUCUGUGGGUGAGCCCAUGUGGGAGCUGGGCACCCUGAGGCUUCUGUGGCCCUGGAUAAGGCCACGCCAGAGCAGGUACAUCUUGCAGCAUCUGUGGCUGUGGUUACGUCUGUGCCGCAGCAGCUGGACCUCGGAAGGGAUUGUGGCCCAAGGCUAAGUCCGUGCUGGAGAAGGCACACCUUAAAACAUCAGGGGCUAUGCUUGUGGUCUUGCAGGAGCACCCCAAAGUGUGUGGCUGUGAUAAGCCCAGGAGAGAGUAAAUAGACCCCUGGAGGGACUGCAGUCAUGGGUAAGGCCAUGCUGAAGCAGAUUUACUUGCAAAGGGACUGGCUGUGGGUGAGGCCAUGCUGGAGCAGGAACAUCUCUGAAAGCGUUGUGGCCCAUGGAAAAGACCAUGCUGAAACUGGUCUACAUCAAAGCAGCUGUGGCUGUGGGUAAGUCCAUGCCCCAGCAUACAGACCCCCAAAGAGUCUGUGGUUCGUAGGUAAGGCUUCACUUGGAGCAGGUACACUCCUAAGGGACUGUGGUCUGUGGAAAAGUCCAAGCCAGAGCAGGGAAAGCAGAAGAGUUAACUGCAGUUUUAAACGCCAUGGUCUGCUCUGAAUGAACCAGAGGUGGAGCUUGUAAUGGAAACAUCUCGACGCUGUUGUAAUGUGGAAUUUGAGCUGUGUAUUGUAGGAAUUACAACAGCAGGAAUCACCCAAACCAGUGGAGGAGCCUUAGAGGAAGCAGUGCAAGUACAGCAGUGACCUGACCUGACCUGACCUGCCCUGCCCUGCCCUGCCCUGCCCUGCCUUGCCUUUGGUGCCCACUAACUCCACACAACACACCACCUCUCCUGUCCUGACCGAAGUCAUGGACUAAAUGAAUUCAAAAGGACAUUUUGUGGAUGUUUGUGGGUGCUUGACAGACAUUUCACAGGGGUGAUCCAUAGACUAAGGAAAAGAUACCUGUGUAUUGUAUCAGAGGAUGGUGACAGUGGUGGUGGGUAAUGAGGAUGUACUGGAUUGUAUGCGAGACCUGAGCAUGAUGUAAAUAAUACAGAAUCAGGAAUGGAGAAUACACUGGUUUGGGCUGGGAUAGAGCUUGGAUUGGUCAUAGGAGAUAGUGUGGGGCUGUAAUUUGGUUUUGUGCAGAAAACUGUUGGUAACACAGGGAUGUGUUUGUUACACCUGAGCAGAGCUGACACUGAGUCAGGGCCCUUUCUGCUUCUCACCCCACCAGAGAGAGGCUGGGAAUGUGCAAGGAGCUGGGAGAGGACACAGCCUGGACAGCUGACCCCAGAGGAAUAUCCUGGACUACAUGGACUACAUGGUAUCAUACUCAGCACAUAAAGCUGGGGGAAGGAGAAGGAAUGUUUGGAAUUAUGGAGUUCAUCUUCCCAAGUCACCAUUAUGUGUGAUGGAGCCCUGCCUUUGCAGGGAUGGCUGAACACCUGCCUGCCCAUGGGAAGUGAUGAAUGGAUUCCCUGUUGUGCUUUGCUUGUGUGCACGGCUUUUGCUUUACCUGUUAAACUGUCUUGUUAUCAACCCGUAAGUCUUCUCACUUCUCUGAGUCUCUCCCCUGUCCCAGUGGGGGGGAGUGAGCAAGUGACUGCUGAGGAAGGAGAGAGAAAUACUCUUCAAUAACAUUCCUGGAAACUGUCCAGAGAGCACCCAGAUAAAACCUCUCAGCAGCAGGGGAGUAAAUGCAGUGCUUUAGAGAUGCCUCUCCCUCAUUCUUAUGGAAUAAAUCAAUGCCUGGGAGGCAGCUUCCUGUGGAUCAGCUGCAGAAAGAACCACACAAGAGUAUUUAGGAAUUACCACCCAUGAUUUUUUUGUAGCUACAAGUCUCAAUACAAAGAAUUUUAAUUAUUAUUUAUUCCUUGCAGGGAGAAAUAGCAGCUUGCUGGCUAAGGGCAUACUUGUUUGUUUAAUAUGUGCCAUUUGCAAAACCUCUCGUUAAGCAUCCUGAGCAUGUUAGUAACAGGUCACAUCUUACAGAUGAUGCAUUAUUUCUCACUUUUUUCCUCUCUCUUUAGGAAUAUGUUUUUUAACUUCCUGGUGAGUUUUCUGCUGGAGUAAACCUGAAAGAAGUCAGAAAUUCAAGGAACUCAGCCCAGUUCCAACCUUUGCUGUUCAGUGUUACUUCAGAUGCAUGAAAUUAAAUGCAGGAUGGUUGCUGGAGGGACCUCCUGAGAAGUCUGGAGUGAACUUAGGCAUUUGAAAUGUUUGGAGAUAUUCUGAAAAACUCCUGCCACUGGGCCAGUCCUUUUCCUGCAAUGAGUAUGCAGACUCUUCUGCAUUUGUUUAGUAUGUGCUGAGCUAGGUCAACAAACGGCCUGCUUGAAAAUCCCAGGCAAGGAGUUUCCAGCAGACACUGGCAACUGCCCUCCUCAACUGGGGUCCAAUUUCCAACAGGAGCAAAGCCAAGCUCAACAACAAAGUUAAAAGCCAAACCAUGAAAAAACUGACUUCCUUACAUUGUAAAUACAUCGGAAAAGGGCAGCAGUUCAAAAGGGAAAACGAGCAAAACUCUGAUUAUUUUCCUUGAAACUGAAUCCCAGGGGGUGAUUGUCCAUUGAGAUGCCCCCAGGAGAGUUGUGCUGCGCCAAGAAGCAAUAGGGUUUGGGUAGGACAUGGCCAAGAGGCCUCCAAACUGUUGCACAACAGGAAUUUGGGUACAGCGUAACAAUCGGCUGAGGAAAGGGAAAACAGUUCUCAAAAACCUUACUCCUCAGCUAAACCAGAUUCUCAGGUCAUCUUGAAGCUUAAUUUUGAUUCUUCAUCUGUGUUGGGUGGGGGUGGUUUUUCAGUGACGUGUAUGUGGUAACACACAUUGGAUGCAGUUCAAGUCAUCGUGAGAAAGUAGCUACAGGCAAAAAAUAAUAAAAAAAAAAGUCAUAAUGCUCUGAUUUGUAGUCUUGUUGUUUGGGUGCACUGAGAGCUCUGUUCAGGUUCUCCCACUUUGGAGCUCUAAAGGCACUGUAAAAUGACAAGAGGUCUUCAGCUGGCGAGUGCAAGCUCAGGGCAAACCCACCAUAAUCUUGGAAGUAACAAAAGGCCAGUGAGUAAAACUUUUCAGCCUUUAAAACCAAAGUCCAUAACAAACCUCAAUGGCCUUCAGAAUGGAAAGCAGAUGAAGUUGUUCAUCGGGGAGUACUGGAAGCAAUAGAGAUGAGCUUAUUUGUGUAUUGUAUUACUGUUAGCUGCUUUCCACUCCAACAUACACUCAGGAUCUCUAGGAUUUGGAAGCUGGGCAUCUGUGCUGAGGUUUCAGACCUCCCCCCCCACACCCCAAAACAAAAAAAAUCUUAAACGAAUCUACCUGGAUUAUGCUCUCUGUGGAGGCUGCUGUCAAUGGCCACCCUUCUAUAAGUUUUAUUACUGAGAACCUCCCCCUUCUGCCUCUUUGCUCCUGCUUUAAUUGAAGCUUUGCUAGCAGAUAGCCAUCAGAAAAGACAUCUGCAAUUCAAUUAGAUCUGUGCUUAAACUCCCGAUCUCUGUGAAACCGGCCGCUGCCAGAACAGAGUGCCCUCCAUGGGCUGGCUCACUGGGGCUGCAGCCUGCGGUGCUUUGCACUUCGUCCCUCUCCUGCCCUGCUGGCCCUGCUUGCAGGUGCUUCAAACAGGACCUGUUCCCCACAGGAGGCUCGUCGGAACUCAUUUCCUCUUCCUUGCAAAGCCAGAGAGAAGCUGGAAACUUGGCACCACUGAGGAGUGGUGAAACCUGCUUUAUAAUGUACUGAAAUGGUUGCUGCAGAGUGGAAUCUUUCUGCCAUGGGAG